rnacentral:misc_RNA from 1 species
UCCGGUUUGUCACCGGCAGUCCCACUAGAGUGCCCAACUGAAUGUGGCAACUAAUGGCAAGGGUUGCGCUCGUUGCGGGACUUAACCCAACAUCUCACGACACGAGCUGACGACAGCCAUGCACCACCUGUGAAGGUGUCCCGAAGGAAAACCGUGUUUCCACGGCGGUCACCUACAUGUCAAGCCUGGGUAAGGUUCUUCGCGUUGCGUCGAAUUAAUCCACAUCAUCCACCGCUUGUGCGGGUCCCCGUCAAUUCCUUUGAGUUUUAAUCUUGCGACCGUACUCCCCAGGCGGUCAACUUCACGCGUUAGCUGCGGUACUGAGAAAUCGCUUCCCCAACACCUAGUUGACAUCGUUUAGGGCGUGGACUAC